GAUGAACGCUAGCUAUAGGCUUAACACAUGCAAGUCGAGGGACCGGCGCACGGGUGAGUAACGCGUAUCCAACCUACCCAUAACUAAGGGAUAACCCAGCGAAAGUUGGACUAAUACAUUAUGGUUAUGGAUGGGGAUGCGUCUGAUUAGCUUGUUGGCGGGGUAACGGCCCACCAAGGCAACGAACAGUAGGGGUUCUGAGAGGAAGGUCCCCGGCAUUGGAACUAAGGCACGGUCCAAACUCGUACGGGAGGGAGGAGUGAGGAAUAUUGGUCAAUGGACGCAAGUCUGAACCAGCCAAGUAGCGUGAAGGAUGACGGCCUAGUGGAUGUAAACUGCUGUUAUAUGGGGAUAGGUACCAUAUGAAUAAGGACCGGCUAAUUCCGUGCCAGCAGCCGCGGUAAUUC
rnacentral:rRNA from 1 species